rnacentral:rRNA from 1 species
CGCCUCUUGCAAAAUAAAUAAAUAAGAGGUCCCGCCUGCCCUGUGACUAUAUGUUUAACGGCCGCGGUAUUCUGACCGUGCGAAGGUAGCGCAAUCACUUGUCCUUUAAAUGGGGACCUGUAUGAAUGGCUUAACGAGGGCUUAACUGUCUCCUUUAUCCGGUCAAUGAAAUUGAUCUUCCCGUGCAGAAGCGGGAAUAAAGACAUAAGACGAGAAGACCCUAUGGAGCUUUAGACACUAGGGCAGAUUAUGCUAAAUCUUACCACAAACGGUAACAGAAGCUAAAUAACUACUGCUUUGACAUGUCUUUGGUUGGGGCGACCGCGGAGUAACAAAAAACCCCCGCAUGGAAUGAGCACACUUGUUCUUAAAGACAAGAGCCACAGCUCAAGUUGACAGAACUUCUGACCAACAAGAUCCGGCCAAGGCCGAUUAAUGAACCAAGUUACCCUAGGGAUAACAGCGCAAUCCCCUUUUAGAGCCCAUAUCGACAAGGGGGUUUACGACCUCGAUGUUGGAUCAGGACAUCCUAAUGGUGCAGCCGCUAUUAAGGGUUCGUUUGUUCAACGAUUAAAGUCCU